UCAUAAACAACAAUUUAGAAGGAGAUUACUUGACCCAGUAAGUAGCCACCUUGAUAAACAAACCCGAGUUGUCCUUCUCCUGCCCUACUUCCUACUGGAUAGCCUUCCUGACCUUCCUAGCCAUGUCAGCAUUGUGGUCACUCGCAUGGUAACCUAUCUUGUCGGCAUAUUAAUUAUGCCUGCUAUUGGUGCGGAAGCACCCAACACUUUAUAAAGGAUUGCCCUCAGUGAUCGAAGGACAUGACAAGACUUGUGGUCAAGUGUCGUGUAUACAGCCUAAAUGAACCCUGUGCUCUCCCCACUCCUGUCAUUAUCCAAGGUAUGCCUUCUGCUAAGGCUUUAAUCAAAUACAGGUACUACUCAUUCUUUUAU
rnacentral:lncRNA from 1 species